CGGCUCCCACUGCUUCCUCUUUUCUGUCCUGCUUCCCUCCGUCUCUCUCUCUCUCUGUCUCUGUCUCCUCUCCCUCUCCCCCUCUCUCUGAGAGCUGCUUCUCGUUGCUAAAGGCCUACAUGGCAGCUCGCCUCCUGCCCUGCACAAGCCCGAGUCUGGACCGGUUCUGCUGCCCCCUCCACUGAGUGCCCCCUUCUUUCACUGAACUCUCUGAGUGCCCUCUCCACUGAGUGAGCUGCUGCUGCCCUGGCGACUAGGGUCACUCCUUCUUAAAGGUACUGGGGGACAGGAGGAAGUGCUUUAACACUGGCUUGUACUUUGUUGAUAUUUAUUAAUUUUAUGUUGUUCUACCCAAGUUUUUAUUUUUAUAUUUUUCACUUUUUAAGGAGUUAUUCCCCCCUUCCCCCUAUGUAUGUUUGCUGUUGGGGAGGAUUGUUUAAAUAAAGUGGUGAUAGUGUGUUAGCUAUUCACUGAUGUUGUUAGUUGGAGGGUGCUUGCUUGGGGUUAGGAGAAGCUCUCUCUCUUUCUCUCUCUCUCUCUCUAUGUGGCCUGACUUGUUUGCACAAUACAGGAAGGAGCUCACCCAUUAAGCUGUCUCAGCUUGCAGGAGUUCUGGCUCAGGGCAGAUAAAAUGCAC